rnacentral:rRNA from 1 species
AACGAACGCUGGCGGCAGGCUUAACACAUGCAAGUCGAGCGCCCCGCAAGGGGAGCGGCAGACGGGUGAGUAACGCGUGGGAAUCUACCCAUCUCUACGGAAUAACGCAUGGAAACGUGUGCUAAUACCGUAUACGUCCUUCGGGAGAAAGAUUUAUCGGAGAUGGAUGAGCCCGCGUUGGAUUAGCUAGUUGGUGGGGUAAAGGCCGACCAAGGCGACGAUCCAUAGCUGGUCUGAGAGGAUGAUCCUCCACACUGGGACUGAGACACGGCCCAGACUCCUACGGGAGGCAGCAGUGGGGAAUAUUGGACAAUGGGCGCAAGCCUGAUCCAGCCAUGCCGCGUGAGUGAUGAAGGCCCUAGGGUUGUAAAGCUCUUUCACCGGUGAAGAUAAUGACGGUAACCGGAGAAGAAGCCCCGGCUAACUUCGUGCCAGCAGCCGCAGUAACAC